rnacentral:lncRNA from 1 species
GGUGCAUUUGCUUUUGAAAAAUCAUGUUGUAGCAUGUUUGGAAUGCGGGAUAAAAGUUCUUGUACUACAUAGGUUUAGGUUUGGGAGGUAACAGGAAAAUAUUGUGUUGAGCCAUACUCUAGAAAAGGCUAUCCAUUUGAGCAGCUAGUUGCUCUGUGUGCGGCACGCACGCUCUGCAUAAACACAAACAAAAGAGUAUGCUGUAGUUAUCACCCCUACUGAUCCAAUCGAUUUCGGAACUUUGCAUGAGCUCUGCUUCUACACUGCCCAGCCAAAUUCAAUAUAACUCAAGCUCUUAAUUAAGCCUUGAGACUUGAGAGUCAUGCAUACCCUCACUCUUCUAUACAAGCUGUAUUUGUUUCUUAUCCUCCACAAGAUAGUGUCCUUGCUUGCAGUGUUGUGCUGUGCUUGUGUCAACCUCUAGGUUUGGGAGGCAACAGGAAAAAAUCAUCCAGGAACAACAUACCCAAUUAAGCCAUGGGAACGGUCAUUUUUAAUUAGCUGCUGGUCUCAUGCACAGUGCUGCCGCUGCAUACUUACGAAUACACAGGACAAUUGCGUGCAUCUCUAGCACCAUGCGACUAUAUAUGACUUGUGUCCUUUGAGCACAUUAAACAGCACAGUUCAACUGAACUACACAUACCAUCUUUUGUCAACAAAGGAGCCAUGCAUGCAUGAAACAGUUAAUGGAACCAACAUUUUUUUUGAUGAACCA